rnacentral:rRNA from 1 species
AGUGAACGCUGGCGGCGUGCUUAACACAUGCAAGUCGAACGGAUGAAAUAAGCUUGCUUAUUUCGUUAGUGGCGCACGGGUGAGUAAUGUAUAGCUAACCUGCCCUUUAGUGGGGGACAACAGUUGGAAACGACUGCUAAUACCCCAUACUCCUUCUUAUCAUAAGGUAAGUCGGGAAAGAUUUAUUGCUAAAGGAUGGGGCUUUAUUGUAUCAGCUUGUUGGUGGGGUAAUGGCCUACCAAGGCGAUGACGCAUACCUGGUCUGAGAGGAUGAUCAGGCACACUGGAACUGAGACACGGUCCAGACUCCUACGGGAAGGCAGCAGUGGGGAAUAUUGCACAAUGGGGGAAACCCUGAUGCAGCAACGCCGCGUGGAGGAUGACGCAUUUCGGUGUGUAAACUCCUUUUAUAAGGGAAGAUAAUGACGGUACCUUAUGAAUAAGCACCGGCUAACUCCGUGCCAGCCGCCGCUGUAA